rnacentral:rRNA from 1 species
GACGUAGGGCGCGAGCGUUGUCCGGAUUUAUUGGGCGUAAAGAGCUCGUAGGCGGCUUGUCGCGUCGUCCGUGAAAACCCACGGCUUAACUGUGGGCUUGCGGUCGAUACGGGCAGGCUGGAGUUCGGUAGGGGAGACUGGAAUUCCAGGUGUAGCGGUGAAAUGCGUAGAUAUCUGGAGGAAUACCGGUGGCGAAGGCGGCAUCCUGGACCGACAUUGACGCUGAGGAGCGAAAGCUAGGGGAGCAAACGGG